rnacentral:precursor_RNA from 12 species
GGAAAGGAGGUCCCACUGAGGUAGAGGGGCAAGCCCUUACCAUUUGGUCUGAUAGAUGUCACUCAGAUCAAACAGAAGGGACUGCUUCUUCAUCUCAUAGCACAACACCCUUCAG